UACGUAGGGCGCGAGCGUUGUCCGGAAUUAUUGGGCGUAAAGAGCUCGUAGGCGGCCUGUUGCGUCCGCUGUGAAAUCCCGGGGCUUAACCCCGGGUCUGCAGUGGAUACGGGCAGGCUGGAGGCAGGCAGGGGAGAACGGAAUUCCCGGUGUAGCGGUGAAAUGCGCAGAUAUCGGGAGGAACACCAAUUGCGAAGGCAGCUCGCUGGGACGCUACUGACGCUGAGACGCGAAAGCGUGGGGAGCAAACAGG
rnacentral:rRNA from 1 species